rnacentral:lncRNA from 1 species
ACCCAAACCCUAGCUCAAACUCUCAAAGAUUUAGCUCAAAGGGGAGAGGGGAGGGAGUAUUCAAUGCUCAAAGAGGUGUUCUUGCUUGGGUAGGUCAGCAGCAAUGAAUAGGGGGCUGAGGGGGUAUUUAUACCCAAGCCUCCAAAACUAGCCAUUACAGUACAUUUAUGUACCUGUCGGAACUUCCAACACAGGAUCGGAACUUCCGAUGGAAUUAAGUCAAAUGGCAGAGGACCACUAUCGGGAGUUUCAACAAACAUCCGAUGGUUAAUUACUAGAACUUCUGAUGGAGUGUUGGAACUUCUGAUACUUUCAAAAUAAAUCCGCAAAGGACCCCAGUCAGGAGUUUCUAAAUACUUCCGACUGGUGUCGAAACUUCCGAC